rnacentral:rRNA from 1 species
AGCGGAUGAAGGAGCUUGCUCCUGGAUUCAGCGGCGGACGGGUGAGUAAUGCCUAGGAAUCUGCCUGGUAGUGGGGGACAACGUUUCGAAAGGAACGCUAAUACCGCAUACGUCCUACGGGAGAAAGCAGGGGACCUUCGGGCCUUGCGCUAUCAGAUGAGCCUAGGUCGGAUUAGCUAGUUGGUGAGGUAAUGGCUCACCAAGGCGACGAUCCGUAACUGGUCUGAGAGGAUGAUCAGUCACACUGGAACUGAGACACGGUCCAGACUCCUACGGGAGGCAGCAGUGGGGAAUAUUGGACAAUGGGCGAAAGCCUGAUCCAGCCAUGCCGCGUGUGUGAAGAAGGUCUUCGGAUUGUAAAGCACUUUAAGUUGGGAGGAAGGGUUGUAGAUUAAUACUCUGCAAUUUUGACGUUACCGACAGAAUAAGCACCGGCUAACUCUGUGCCAGCAGCCGCGGUAAUACAGAGGGUGCAAGCGUUAAUCGGAAUUACUGGGCGUAAAGCGCGCGUAGGUGGUUUGUUAAGUUGGAUGUGAAAUCCCCGGGCUCAACCUGGGAACUGCAUCCAAAACUGGCAAGCUAGAGUAUGGUAGAGGGUGGUGGAAUUUCCUGUGUAGCGGUGAAAUGCGUAGAUAUAGGAAGGAACACCAGUGGCGAAGGCGACCACCUGGACUGAUACUGACACUGAGGUGCGAAAGCGUGGGGAGCAAACA